rnacentral:rRNA from 1 species
UACGAAGGGGGCUAGCGUUGUUCGGAAUUACUGGGCGUAAAGCGCGCGUAGGCGGCUCUUUAAGUCAGGGGUGAAAUCCAGGAGCUCAACCCCGGAACUGCCCUUGAAACUGUAGGGCUAGAAUACGGGAGAGGUGAGUGGAAUUGCGAGUGUAGAGGUGAAAUUCGUAGAUAUUCGCAAGAACACCAGUGGCGAAGGCGGCUCACUGGACAGUCACUGACGCUGAGGUGCGAAAGCGUGGGGAGCAAGCAGG